rnacentral:rRNA from 1 species
GACGAACGCUGGCGGCGUGCUUAACACAUGCAAGUCGAACGGAAAGGCCCUGCUUUUGUGGGGUGCUCGAGUGGCGAACGGGUGAGUAACACGUGAGUAACCUGCCCUUGACUUUGGGAUAACUUCAGGAAACUUGGUCUAAUACCGGAUAGGAGCUCCUGCUGCAUGGUGGGGGUUGGAAAGUUUCGGCGGUUGGGGAUGGACUCGCGGCUUAUCAGCUUGUUGGUGGGGUAGUGGCUUACCAAGGCUUUGACGGGUAGCCGGCCUGAGAGGGUGACCGGCCACAUUGGGACUGAGAUACGGCCCAGACUCCUACGGGAGGCAGCAGUGGGGAAUAUUGCACAAUGGGCGGAAGCCUAAUGCAGCAACGCCGCGUGCGGGAUGACGGCCUUCGGGUUGUAAACCGCUUUCGCCUGUGACGAAGCGUGAGUGACGGUAAUGGGUAAAGAAGCACCGGCUAACUACGUG